GUAAAAUAAUUAAUUACGGUCAUGUCAAUCAUGUUAUAUACUUGGGAUACUGUACCGCGUUCAACCAGUUAGCAAGUCAGAAAUGUCAGUUUCCUAGUACCGACUAGCACUUGAAUGCAGUAUUAUGCUGGCUUGACAUUCUCGUGGGAAAUGGGAAGUUGUAACUCCAACGUGAUUGUGUUCAAGUGCUUUUGAAGUCGGAACAAUUCUUAAACCUUUAAGAUUAGAAAAUGAUGUUGCCAAUUUCCCACUUGGAGGGUCAUUCAAGUGAAAACGUCCCAGUCGGAACGAGGAAUUUCCGAGAACUCCGACUUGUCCAGCCUUCAUACCCAUUCACGACCACCGCGGACUCCAAAUAAAGACCCUUCACACCUACCACCCUUCUAUUCAGACCACUCAGACCUACGGCUGACACCUUUAGUCUCUCUUGCUCUCUCUCUCCAUCCUCUUGAUCCAUCCUCUGGCUGCAUUUUAUACAACUUGAAAGCAGCCUCUGAGCGGUCUCUCCUCAGGUCCACGUCUCUCAGACCAACACUCUGCAGAAUCACAGAGGACAGACAAGAAAGGCCCUGGCCCUUUUCUGCAGCUGCUGCUGGGAGGGAGAGAAAAGAAAGAGAGAAAAAAAUAGACAUUUACUGCAUUAAC
rnacentral:lncRNA from 1 species